ensembl:lncRNA
GUUUGAUUUCACCAGCUAGAAGAAAAAUUAACCAUUUAAACUGAUUGGAGAUUGUGAUUGAGACUCUCCCGGACUCAUUUCUGUAAACCACACAUUUGCUUACACUAUUUGUGUUUCUUUAGUCUCGCUGACGAUGUGAUCAAGAGGAGGGCCUGAGACUGUUAGCUAAACACAAUAAAAACACAACGAAAUCUGGCUAUGUCACAGAAGCUGUCCAAAUGCCUGCGGAUCCAAUGAUGCGCUUUUGAAUGUUCUGCC